CCCUUUGUGAACAUACCUAUAACUGUUGCUUCGGCGGGUAGGGUCUCCGUGACCCUCCCGGCCUCCCGCCCCCGGGCGGGUCGGCGCCCGCCGGAGGAUAACCAAACUCUGAUUUAACGACGUUUCUUCUGAGUGGUACAAGCAAAUAAUCAAAACUUUUAACAACGGAUCUCUUGGUUCUGGCAUCGAUGAAGAACGCAGCGAAAUGCGAUAAGUAAUGUGAAUUGCAGAAUUCAGUGAAUCAUCGAAUCUUUGAACGCACAUUGCGCCCGCCAGCAUUCUGGCGGGCAUGCCUGUUCGAGCGUCAUUUCAACCCUCAAGCUCUGCUUGGUGUUGGGGCCCUACAGCUGAUGUAGGCCCUCAAAGGUAGUGGCGGACCCUCCCGGAGCCUCCUUUGCGUAGUAACUUUACGUCUCGCACUGGGAUCCGGAGGGACUCUUGCCGUAAAACCCCCCAAUUUUCCAAAGGUUGACCUCGGAUCAGGUAGGAAUACCCGCUGAACUUAAGCAUAUCAAUAAGCGGAGGAAAAGAAACCAACAGGGAUUGCCUCAGUAACGGCGAGUGAAGCGGCAACAGCUCAAAUUUGAAAUCUGGCCCUAGGCCCGAGUUGUAAUUUGCAGAGGAUGCUUUUGGUGCGGUGCCUUCCAAGUUCCCUAGAACGGGACGCCAGAGAGGGUGAGAGCCCCGUACAGUUGGACACCAAGCCUUUGUAAAGCUCCUUCGACGAGUCGAGUAGUUUGGGAAUGCUGCUCAAAAUGGGAGGUAUAUUUCUUCUAAAGCUAAAUACCGGCCAGAGACCGAUAGCGCACAAGUAGAGUGAUCGAAAGAUGAAAAGCACUUUGAAAAGAGGGUUAAACAGCACGUGAAAUUGUUAAAAGGGAAGCGCUUGUGACCAGACUUGCGUCCGGUGAAUCACCCAGCUCUCGCGGCUGGGGCACUUCGCCGGCUCAGGCCAGCAUCAGCUCGCUGUCGGGGACAAAAGCUUCAGGAACGUAGCUCUCUUCGGGGAGUGUUAUAGCCUGUUGCAUAAUACCCUUCGGCGGGCUGAGGUACGC
rnacentral:rRNA from 1 species